rnacentral:rRNA from 1 species
CCUAACACAUGCAAGUCGAACGGUAACAGGAAGAAGCUUGCUUCUUUGCUGACGAGUGGCGGACGGGUGAGUAAUGUCUGGGAAACUGCCUGAUGGAGGGGGAUAACUACUGGAAACGGUAGCUAAUACCGCAUAACGUCGCAAGACCAAAGAGGGGGACCCUCGGGCCUCUUGCCAUCGGAUGUGCCCAGAUGGGAUUAGCUUGUUGGUGGGGUAACGGCUCACCAAGGCGACGAUCCCUAGCUGGUCUGAGAGGAUGACCAGCCACACUGGAACUGAGACACGGUCCAGACUCCUACGGGAGGCAGCAGUGGGGAAUAUUGCACAAUGGGCGCAAGCCUGAUGCAGCCAUGCCGCGUGUAUGAAGAAGGCCUUCGGGUUGUAAAGACU